rnacentral:misc_RNA from 1 species
AGUAUGAGAAAGCUGCAUCCAUAUUGCAUGGUCAUGACCCCCCAGUUGUUCUGGCCAAGAUUGAUGCCAAUGAAGAGGCGAACAAAGAUCUUGCAACCCAAUAUGAUAUUAAGGGAUUUCCAACUCUUAAAAUUUUGAGAAAUGGAGGGAAGACAAUUCAAGAGUAUAAAGGCCCUCGUGAAGCCGAUGGCAUUGUUGAGUAUUUGAAGAAACA